UACAGAGGUCUCAAGCGUUGUUCGGAUUCAUUGGGCGUAAAGGGCGCGUAGGCGGCCUGAUAAGUCGGGGGUGAAAUCCUGCGGCUUAACCGCAGGGCUGCCUUCUAAACUGUCAGGCUCGAGCACAGUAGAGGCAGGUGGAAUUCCCGGUGUAGCGGUGGAAUGCGUAGAGAUCGGGAGGAACAUCAGUGGCGAAGGCGGCCUGCUGGGCUGUUGCUGACGCUGAGGCGCGACAGCGUGGGGAGCAAACAGG
rnacentral:rRNA from 1 species